AACACGAACUCCGAAUCUAAAGAAACAAAUGAACCAGUGGAGACAUUACCGAUAAUGCCUGGGUUUUACAUGGUGAAGCCUGAUGGGAUCUCCAACACAGCCUUCAAAUAUCCGAACGGAAAGGCCCAAACACCGUUUAGCACUAAGAUACAGGAUGAUAUUAUAAGUAAAAAGGAACCAAAAGCUGGGAGUCCUGAUUCUGUCAGCAAAGACUUGAUUUUGAAAAUAUUCAAAGACGUAUUUCAUGGUGAUGCGAAUUCACGGGAUCGGUAAGCUAUUUUGUUUUUCUACAAAAAUGACUCAACUUCAGCUAACCACACUGUUGUAGAAGCAAGAUAGUGCGUUACACAGCAUCUCGAAGUGGAACAUUUAUUUCAUACUCCUCCUUUUUACUAUAUCUAAAUUGUCUGCACGGAUA